rnacentral:rRNA from 1 species
AUUGAACGCUGGCGGCAGGCCUAACACAUGCAAGUCGAGCGCGCGGCGGAGGGGUGAGUAAAGUAUGGGGACUGCGCGAGAGAGGGGGAGAAAAACAGGAAACGGGAGAGAAUACAGCAUAAUAUAGGAGAACGAAUAGGGGAGUAGCUAGUAGGUGAGGUAAUGGAGCACCUAGGCGACGAUCCCUAGCUGGUCUGAGAGGAUGAUCAGCCACACUGGGACUGAGACACGGCCCAGACUCCUACGGAGGCAGCAGUGGGGAAUAUUGCACAAUGGGCGCAAGCCUGAUGCAGCCAUGCCGCGUGUAUGAAGAAGGCCCUAGGGUUGUAAAGUACUUUCAGUCGGGAGGCGUUACCGACAGAAGAAGCACCGGCUAACUCCGUGCCAGCAGCCGCGGUAAUUC